GACGAACGCUGGCGGCGUGCUUAACACAUGCAAGUCGAGCGGAAAGGCCACUUCGGUGGUACUCGAGCGGCGAACGGGUGAGUAACACGUGAGUAAUCUGCCCCCCACUUUGGGAUAGCCACCGGAAACGGUGAUUAAUACCGGAUAUGACCUGAUGCCGCAUGGUGUUGGGUGGAAAGUUUUUCGGUGGGGGAUGUGCUCGCGGCCUAUCAGCUUGAUGGUGGGGUAAUGGCCUACCAUGGCUUCGACGGGUAGCCGGCCUGAGAGGGUGACCGGCCACACUGGGACUGAGACACGGCCCAGACUCCUACGGGAGGCAGCAGUGGGGAAUAUUGGACAAUGGGCGGAAGCCUGAUCCAGCAACGCCGCGUGAGGGAUGACGGCCUUCGGGUUGUAAACCUCUUUCAGUACCGACGAAGCGAAAGUGACGGUAGGUACAGAAGAAGCACCGGCCAACUACGUGCCAGCCGCCGCCGUAAAAC
rnacentral:rRNA from 1 species